AUACGGAGGGGGUUAGCGUUGUCCGGAAUUACUGGGCGUAAAGCGCACGUAGGCGGACUGGAAAGUUGGGGGUGAAAUCCCGGGGCUCAACCCCGGAACUGCCUCCAAAACUUCCAAUCUAGAGAUCGAGAGAGGUGAGUGGAAUUCCAAGUGUAGAGGUGAAAUUCGUAGAUAUUUGGAGGAACACCAGUGGCGAAGGCGGCUCACUGGCUCGAUACUGACGCUGAGGUGCGAAAGCGUGGGGAGCAAACAGGAUUAGAAACCCCAGUAGUCC
rnacentral:rRNA from 1 species